UCCCUGGUGGUCCAGCGGUUAAGACUUUGCACUUCCACUGCAGGGGGUGUGGGUUUGAUCCCUGGUCUGGGAA
rnacentral:tRNA from 1 species